UUAAGCGACUAAGCGUACACGGUGGAUGCCCUGGCAGUCAGAGGCGAUGAAGGACGUGCUAAUCUGCGAUAAGCGUCGGUAAGGUGAUAUGAACCGUUAUAACCGGCGAUUUCCGAAUGGGGAAACCCAGUGUGUUUCGACACACUAUCAUUAACUGAAUCCAUAGGUUAAUGAGGCGAACCGGGGGAACUGAAACAUCUAAGUACCCCGAGGAAAAGAAAUCAACCGAGAUUCCCCCAGUAGCGGCGAGCGAACGGGGAGCAGCCCAGAGCCUGAAUCAGUGUGUGUGUUAGUGGAAGCGUCUGGAAAGGCGCGCGAUACAGGGUGACAGCCCCGUACACAAAAAUGCACAUGCUGUGAGCUCGAUGAGUAGGGCGGGACACGUGGUAUCCUGUCUGAAUAUGGGGGGACCAUCCUCCAAGGCUAAAUACUCCUGACUGACCGAUAGUGAACCAGUACCGUGAGGGAAAGGCGAAAAGAACCCCGGCGAGGGGAGUGAAAAAGAACCUGAAACCGUGUACGUACAAGCAGUGGGAGCACGCUUAGGCGUGUGACUGCGUACCUUUUGUAUAAUGGGUCAGCGACUUAUAUUCUGUAGCAAGGUUAACCGAAUAGGGGAGCCGAAGGGAAACCGAGUCUUAACUGGGCGUUAAGUUGCAGGGUAUAGACCCGAAACCCGGUGAUCUAGCCAUGGGCAGGUUGAAGGUUGGGUAACACUAACUGGAGGACCGAACCGACUAAUGUUGAAAAAUUAGCGGAUGACUUGUGGCUGGGGGUGAAAGGCCAAUCAAACCGGGAGAUAGCUGGUUCUCCCCGAAAGCUAUUUAGGUAGCGCCUCGUGAAUUCAUCUCCGGGGGUAGAGCACUGUUUCGGCAAGGGGGUCAUCCCGACUUACCAACCCGAUGCAAACUGCGAAUACCGGAGAAUGUUAUCACGGGAGACACACGGCGGGUGCUAACGUCCGUCGUGAAGAGGGAAACAACCCAGACCGCCAGCUAAGGUCCCAAAGUCAUGGUUAAGUGGGAAACGAUGUGGGAAGGCCCAGACAGCCAGGAUGUUGGCUUAGAAGCAGCCAUCAUUUAAAGAAAGCGUAAUAGCUCACUGGUCGAGUCGGCCUGCGCGGAAGAUGUAACGGGGCUAAACCAUGCACCGAAGCUGCGGCAGCGACGCUUAUGCGUUGUUGGGUAGGGGAGCGUUCUGUAAGCCUGUGAAGGUGUGCUGUGAGGCAUGCUGGAGGUAUCAGAAGUGCGAAUGCUGACAUAAGUAACGAUAAAGCGGGUGAAAAGCCCGCUCGCCGGAAGACCAAGGGUUCCUGUCCAACGUUAAUCGGGGCAGGGUGAGUCGACCCCUAAGGCGAGGCCGAAAGGCGUAGUCGAUGGGAAACAGGUUAAUAUUCCUGUACUUGGUGUUACUGCGAAGGGGGACGGAGAAGGCUAUGUUGACCGGGCGACGGUUGUCCCGGUUUAAGCGUGUAGGCUGGUUUUCCAGGCAAAUCCGGAAAAUCAAGGCUGAGGCGUGAUGACGAGGCACUACGGUGCUGAAGCAACAAAUGCCCUGCUUCCAGGAAAAGCCUCUAAGCAUCAGGUAACAUCAAAUCGUACCCCAAACCGACACAGGUGGUCAGGUAGAGAAUACCAAGGCGCUUGAGAGAACUCGGGUGAAGGAACUAGGCAAAAUGGUGCCGUAACUUCGGGAGAAGGCACGCUGAUAUGUAGGUGAAGUCCCUCGCGGAUGGAGCUGAAAUCAGUCGAAGAUACCAGCUGGCUGCAACUGUUUAUUAAAACACAGCACUGUGCAAACACGAAAGUGGACGUAUACGGUGUGACGCCUGCCCGGUGCCGGAAGGUUAAUUGAUGGGGUCAGCGCAAGCGAAGCUCUUGAUCGAAGCCCCGGUAAACGGCGGCCGUAACUAUAACGGUCCUAAGGUAGCGAAAUUCCUUGUCGGGUAAGUUCCGACCUGCACGAAUGGCGUAAUGAUGGCCAGGCUGUCUCCACCCGAGACUCAGUGAAAUUGAACUCGCUGUGAAGAUGCAGUGUACCCGCGGCAAGACGGAAAGACCCCGUGAACCUUUACUAUAGCUUGACACUGAACAUUGAGCCUUGAUGUGUAGGAUAGGUGGGAGGCUUAGAAGUGUGGACGCCAGUCUGCAUGGAGCCGACCUUGAAAUACCACCCUUUAAUGUUUGAUGUUCUAACGUUGACCCGUAAUCCGGGUUGCGGACAGUGUCUGGUGGGUAGUUUGACUGGGGCGGUCUCCUCCUAAAGAGUAACGGAGGAGCACGAAGGUUGGCUAAUCCUGGUCGGACAUCAGGAGGUUAGUGCAAUGGCAUAAGCCAGCUUGACUGCGAGCGUGACGGCGCGAGCAGGUGCGAAAGCAGGUCAUAGUGAUCCGGUGGUUCUGAAUGGAAGGGCCAUCGCUCAACGGAUAAAAGGUACUCCGGGGAUAACAGGCUGAUACCGCCCAAGAGUUCAUAUCGACGGCGGUGUUUGGCACCUCGAUGUCGGCUCAUCACAUCCUGGGGCUGAAGUAGGUCCCAAGGGUAUGGCUGUUCGCCAUUUAAAGUGGUACGCGAGCUGGGUUUAGAACGUCGUGAGACAGUUCGGUCCCUAUCUGCCGUGGGCGCUGGAGAACUGAGGGGGGCUGCUCCUAGUACGAGAGGACCGGAGUGGACGCAUCACUGGUGUUCGGGUUGUCAUGCCAAUGGCACUGCCCGGUAGCUAAAUGCGGAAGAGAUAAGUGCUGAAAGCAUCUAAGCACGAAACUUGCCCCGAGAUGAGUUCUCCCUGACUCCUUGAGAGUCCUGAAGGAACGUUGAAGACGACGACGUUGAUAGGCCGGGUGUGUAAGCGCAGCGAUGCGUUGAGCUAACCGGUACUAAUGAACCGUGAGGCUUAACCUU
rnacentral:rRNA from 1 species